rnacentral:rRNA from 1 species
UACGUAGGCAGCGAGCGUUGUUCGGAGUUACUGGGCGUAAAGGGUGUGUAGGCGGUUUUCUAAGUUUGGUGUGAAAUCUCCCGGCUCAACCGGGAGGGUGCGCCGAAAACUGGGAGACUAGAGUGCGGGAUGGGAGAGUAGAAUUCCUGGUGUAGCGGUGAAAUGCGUAGAUAUCGGGAGGAACACCAGUAGCGAAGGCGGCACUCUGGGCCGGAACUGACGCUGAGGAGCGAAAGCGUGGGGAGCGAACAGG